rnacentral:rRNA from 1 species
GACGAACGCUGGCGGCGUGCCUAACACAUGCAAGUCGAACGGAAAGGCCCUGCUCUUGUGGGGUGCUCGAGUGGCGAACGCGUGAGUAACACGCGAGUAACCUGCCCUUGUCUUUGGGAUAACAUCAGGAAACUGGGGCUAAUACCGGAUAGGAGCUCCUGCUGCAUGGUGGGGGUUGGAAAGUUUCGGCGGUUGUGGAUGGACUCGCGGCUUACCAGCUUGUUGGUGGGGUAGUGGCGUACGAAGGCUGUGACGGGUAGCCCGCCUGAGAGGGUGACCGGCGACAUGGGGACUGAGGGACGGCGCAGACUGGAACGUGAGGCAAUAGUGGGGAGUAUUGCACAGUGAGCGGGAGCCUGAUGCAGCAACCCCGCGUGCGUGAUGACCUGCUUCGAGGUGUAAACCGCUUUCGACUGUGACGAAGCGUGAUUGACGGUAAUGGGUAAAGAAGCACCGGCUAACUACGUG